UGUCUAAAGUGCUUUACUGCUUCAUAGAU
rnacentral:sRNA from 1 species